GCGACUUAGGGGCAGGAGGCGGCGGUAAUGGGUAGGUGGGGGGCGUUGUCCGGAAUGAUGGGGCGUAAGGUGCUCGUAGGCGGUUUGUCGCGUCUGGAGUGAAAUCCACUGGCUUAGCUGGUGGCUUGCUUUCGAUACGGGCAGACUGGAGGUAUGCAGGGGAGAACGGAAUUCCUGGUGUAGCGGUGAAAUGCGCAGAUAUCAGGAGGAACACCGGUGGCGAAGGCGGUUCUCUGGGCAUGUCCUGACGCUGAGGAGCGAAAGUGUGGGGAGCGAACAGGAUUAGAUACCCGUGUAGUC
rnacentral:rRNA from 1 species